AAAUUUAGUGUGCAUAUACUUUAUUGCAGAUUCCGGAUAAGUAUGGGAAUCAUCUUAUAUAGUAGUCCGAUUAAUUAGGUGUCUGCAGAACUCCUGAGCGCUAAACUGAGAGACUACUACAGUCAGUUAUCAAAUCAACUGUUGAGAGCAGAAAUCUUCAAAAUGUUGCUCCAAAAUCGUAAUACCCUUUGCAUUCAAGCACAACACUUGCUAAUGCUGCCCAGUAAUCUGUAGCUCCAAGCUAAGCGAGAUAAUUUAAUCCUUUUAAAUAUUCCGAAUGGCGUUUCCUUUCAGCAAUUGACUUGGCUGUAAGACCGUGAAUACAUUGUAUUUGAUUUUCCGCUAAGAAAAACCUACUUCAAACUA